rnacentral:miRNA from 1 species
GGAUGAUGGUGAGCAGGCACCCUGAGGGAGGGCAGGAAAUGGAGCUACCUCUGCUCCCAUCCUUGUGAGACCCUUCCUGCUC